rnacentral:hammerhead_ribozyme from 1 species
CGAGGCUGAGGAGUCCCAUACCAGGACGAAACGGCCGUCCAGUGC